rnacentral:rRNA from 1 species
CCUACGGGAGGCUGCAGUGAGGAAUAUUGGUCAAUGGACGCAAGUCUGAACCAGCCAUGCCGCGUGCAGGAAGACGGCUCUAUGAGUUGUAAACUGCUUUUGUACGAGGGUAAACGCAGAUACGUGUAUCUGUCUGAAAGUAUCGUACGAAUAAGGAUUGGCUAACUCCGUGCCAGCAGCCGCGGUAAUACGGAGGAUUCAAGCGUUAUCCGGAUUUAUUGGGUUUAAAGGGUGCGUAGGCGGUAUGAUAAGUUAGAGGUGAAAUGCCGAGGCUCAACUGUGGCAUUGCCUCUGAUACUGUCCGGCUAGAGAGUAGUGGAGGUAGGCGGAAUGUAUGGUGUAGCGGUGAAAUGCUUAGAGAUCAUACAGAACACCGAUUGCGAAGGCAGCUUAC